rnacentral:rRNA from 1 species
GAUGAACGCUGGCGGCGUGCUCAACACAUGCAAGUCGAACGGUGAACGAGGGAGCUUGCUCCCUCCGGAUCAGUGGCGAACGGGUGAGUAACACGUGAGCAAUCUGCCCUGGACUCUGGGAUAAGCGUUGGAAACGACGUCUAAUACCGGAUACGAGACGCGAAGGCAUCUUCAGCGUCUGGAAAGAACUUCGGUCCAGGAUGAGCUCGCGGCCUAUCAGGUAGUUGGUGAGGUAAUGGCUCACCAAGCCUACGACGGGUAGCCGGCCUGAGAGGGUGACCGGCAACACUGGGACUGAGAAACGGCCCAGACUCCUACGGGAGGCAGCAGUGGGGAAUAUUGCACAAUGGGCGCAAGCCUGAUGCAGCAACGCCGCGUGAGGGACGACGGCCUUCGGGUUGUAAACCUCUUUUAGCAGGGAAGAAGCGAAAGUGACGGUACCUGCAGAAAAAGCACCGGCUAACUACGUGCCAGCCGCUGCCGUAA